CCCAUUGAUUGAUGGUGCUUGCACCUGAUUGAUUUUGGUUGCCAACGAGUGGCGGACGGGUGAGUAACACGUAGGUAACCUGCCCAGAAGCGGGGGACAACAUUUGGAAACAGAUGCUAAUACCGCAUAACAGCGUUGUUCGCAUGAACAACGCUUAAAAGAUGGCUUCUCGCUAUCACUUCUGGAUGGACCUGCGGUGCAUUAGCUUGUUGGUGGGGUAACGGCCUACCAAGGCGAUGAUGCAUAGCCGAGUUGAGAGACUGAUCGGCCACAAUGGGACUGAGACACGGCCCAUACUCCUACGGGAGGCAGCAGUAGGGAAUCUUCCACAAUGGGCGCAAGCCUGAUGGAGCAACACCGCGUGAGUGAAGAAGGGUUUCGGCUCGUAAAGCUCUGUUGUUAAAGAAGAACACGUAUGAGAGUAACUGUUCAUACGUUGACGGUAUUUAACCAGAAAGUCACGGCUAACUACGUGCCAGCAGCCGCGGUAAUACGUAGGUGGCAAGCGUUAUCCGGAUUUAUUGGGCGUAAAGAGAGUGCAGGCGGUUUUCUAAGUCUGAUGUGAAAGCCUUCGGCUUAACCGGAGAAGUGCAUCGGAAACUGGAUAACUUGAGUGCAGAAGAGGGUAGUGGAACUCCAUGUGUAGCGGUGGAAUGCGUAGAUAUAUGGAAGAACACCAGUGGCGAAGGCGGCUACCUGGUCUGCAACUGACGCUGAGACUCGAAAGCAUGGGUAGCGAACAGGAUUAGAUACCCUGGUAGUCCAUGCCGUAAACGAUGAGUGCUAGGUGUUGGAGGGUUUCCGCCCUUCAGUGCCGGAGCUAACGCAUUAAGCACUC
rnacentral:rRNA from 1 species